rnacentral:rRNA from 1 species
AAUGAACGUUGGUGGCGUGGAUUAGGCAUGCAAGUCGUGCGAGAAGGCCCCGCAAGGGGCCGGACAGCGGCGAACGGGGUAGUAAGGCGUCGGUACGUGCCCUGGGGUCCGGGAUAGCGGCGGGAAACUGCCGGUAAUACCGGAUGACCUCUCCGGAGCAAAGGUGUGAUUCCGCCCUUGGAGCGGCCGACGUGAUACCAGCUAGAUGGCGGGGUAACGGCCCACCAUGGCUAAGACGUCUAGGGGGUGUGAGAGCAUGGCCCCCACCACUGGGACUGAGACACUGCCCAGACACCUACGGGUGGCUGCAGUCGAGAAUCUUCGGCAAUGGGCGCAAGCCUGACCGGGCGACGCCACGUGCGGGAUGACGGCCCUCGGGUUGUAAACCGCUGUCGGGGGGGAUGAAGUCACGCGGGGCAAUCCCCGCGUGUUGACAGAGCCCCGGAGGAAGCGCGGGCUAAGUACGUGCCAGCCGCCGCAGUAAUAC